rnacentral:rRNA from 1 species
GAUGAACGCUGGCGGCGUGCCUAAUACAUGCAAGUCGAACGCGAGCAGCAAUGCUCGAGUGGCGAACGGGUGAGUAAUACAUAAGUAACCUGCCCUAGACAGGGGGAUAACAGUUGGAAACGACUGCUAAUACCGCAUAAGCCCACAGCACCGCAUGGUGCAGCGGGAAAAGGAGCAAUUCGCUUCAGGAUGGCCUCGCGUCCAAUUAGGUAGAUGGUGAGGUAACGGCCCACCAUGCCGACGAUUGGUAGCCGGACUGAGAGGUUGAACGGCCACAUUGGGACUGAGACACGGCCCAG